rnacentral:rRNA from 1 species
CUACGUGCCAGCAGCCGCGGUAAUACGUAGGGAGCGAGCGUUAUCCGGAUUUAUUGGGUGUAAAGGGUGCGUAGACGGAAAUGCAAGUUAGUUGUGAAAUACCUCGGCUUAACUGAGGAACUGCAACUAAAACUAUAUUUCUUGAGUAUCGGAGGGGUUUGUGGAAUUCCUAGUGUAGCGGUGAAAUGCGUAGAUAUUAGGAAGAACACCGGUGGCGAAGGCGACAAACUGGACGAUAACUGACGUUGAGGCACGAAAGUGUGGGGAGCAAACAGGAUUAGAUACCCUGGUAGUCCACACCGUAAACGAUGGAUACUAGGUGUUGGCAAUGAAUAAUUGUCGGUGCCGGCGCUAACGCAAUAAGUAUCCCACCUGGGGAGUACGACCGCAAGGUUGAAACUCAAAGGAAUUGACGGGGGCCCGCACAAGCAGUGGAGUAUGUGGUUUAAUUCGAUGCUACGCGAAGAACCUUACCAAGGCU